rnacentral:rRNA from 1 species
UACGAAGGGUGCAAACGUUGCUCGGAAUCAUUGGGCGUAAAGCGCACGUAGGCGGCGCAACAAGUCGGACGUGAAAUCCCUCGGCUCAACCGAGGACGUGCAUCCGAAACUGUUGUGCUCGAGUAUGGAAGAGGGUCGCGGAAUUCUCGGUGUAGAGGUGAAAUUCGUAGAUAUCGGGAGGAACACCAGUGGCGAAGGCGGCGACCUGGGCCAAUACUGGACGCUGAGGUGCGAAAGCGUGGGGAGCAAACAGG